CAGGCUUAACACAUGCAAGUCGAGGGGCAGCAUGGUCUUAGCUUGCUAAGGCCGAUGGCGACCGGCGCACGGGUGAGUAACACGUAUCCAACCUGCCGUCUACUCUUGGACAGCCUUCUGAAAGGAAGAUUAAUACAAGAUGGCAUCAUGAGUCCGCAUGUUCACAUGAUUAAAGGUAUUCCGGUAGACGAUGGGGAUGCGUUCCAUUAGAUAGUAGGCGGGGUAACGGCCCACCUAGUCUUCGAUGGAUAGGGGUUCUGAGAGGAAGGUCCCCCACAUUGGAACUGAGACACGGUCCAAACUCCUACGGGAGGCAGCAGUGAGGAAUAUUGGUCAAUGGGCGAGAGCCUGAACCAGCCAAGUAGCGUGAAGGAUGACUGCCCUAUGGGUUGUAAACUUCUUUUAUAAAGGAAUAAAGUCGGGUAUGGAUACCCGUUUGCAUGUACUUUAUGAAUAAGGAUCGGCUAACUCCGUGCCAGCAGCCGCGGUAAUACGGAGGAUCCGAGCGUUAUCCGGAUUUAUUGGGUUUAAAGGGAGCGUAGAUGGAUGUUUAAGUCAGUUGUGAAAGUUUGCGGCUCAACCGUAAAAUUGCAGUUGAUACUGGAUAUCUUGAGUGCAGUUGAGGCAGGCGGAAUUCGUGGUGUAGCGGUGAAAUGCUUAGAUAUCACGAAGAACUCCGAUUGCGAAGGCAGCCUGCUAAGCUGCAACUGGCAUUGAGGCUCGAAAGUGUGGGUAUCAAACAGGAUUAGAUACCCUGGUAGUCCACACGGUAAACGAUGAAUACUCGCUGUUUGCGAUAUACUGCAAGCGGCCAAGCGAAAGCGUUAAGUAUUCCACCUGGGGAGUACGCCGGCAACGGUGAAACUCAAAGGAAUUGACGGGGGCCCGCACAAGCGGAGGAACAUGUGGUUUAAUUCGAUGAUACGCGAGGAACCUUACCCGGGCUUAAAUUGCAGAUGAAUUACGGUGAAAGCCGUAAGCCGCAAGGCAUCUGUGAAGGUGCUGCAUGGUUGUCGUCAGCUCGUGCCGUGAGGUGUCGGCUUAAGUGCCAUAACGAGCGCAACCCUUGUUGUCAGUUACUAACAGGUCAUGCUGAGGACUCUGACAAGACUGCCAUCGUAAGAUGUGAGGAAGGUGGGGAUGACGUCAAAUCAGCACGGCCCUUACGUCCGGGGCUACACACGUGUUACAAUGGGGGGUACAGAGGGCCGCUACCACGCGAGUGGAUGCCAAUCCCCAAAACCUCUCUCAGUUCGGACUGGAGUCUGCAACCCGACUCCACGAAGCUGGAUUCGCUAGUAAUCGCGCAUCAGCCACGGCGCGGUGAAUACGUUCCCGGGCCUUGUACACACCGCCCGUCAAGCCAUGGGAGCCGGGGGUACCUGAAGUGCGUAACCGCGAGGAGCGCCCUAGGGUAAAACUGGUGACUGGGGCUAA
rnacentral:rRNA from 1 species